UCCAGACUCCUACGGGAGGCAGCAGUGGGGAAUAUUGCACAAUGGGGGGAACCCUGAUGCAGCGACGCCGCGUGGGCGAGGAAGUAUUUCGGUAUGUAAAGCCCUGUCAGCAGGGAAGAAAAUGACGGUACCUGAAGAAGAAGCCCCGGCUAACUACGUGCCAGCAGCCGCGGUAAUACGUAGGGGGCAAGCGUUAUCCGGAUUUACUGGGUGUAAAGGGGGCGCAGACGGCGAUGCAAGCCAGGAGUGAAAGCCCGGGGCCCAACCCCGGGACUGCUCUUGGAACUGCGUGGCUGGAGUGCAGGAGGGGCAGGCGGAAUUCCUGGUGUAGCGGUGAAAUGCGUAGAUAUCAGGAGGAACACCGGUGGCGAAGGCGGCCUGCUGGACUGCGACUGACGUUGAGGCCCGAAAGCGUGGGGAGCAAACAGGAUUAGAUACCCGGGUAGA
rnacentral:rRNA from 1 species